rnacentral:rRNA from 1 species
CCCAGAGGAGUCGGCAACGACACUUCAGGGCCGGAAAGUUAUCCAAACUCGGUCAUUAGAGGAAGUAAAGUCGUAACAAGGUCUCCGUUGGUGAACCAGCGGAGGGAUCAUU